GAAAUGCGAUAAGUAAUGUGAAUUGCAGAAUUCAGUGAAUCAUCGAAUCUUUGAACGCACAUUGCGCCCCCUGGCAUUCCGGGGGGCAUGCCUGUCCGAGCGUCAUUACUGCCCUCAAGCACGGCUUGUGUGUUGGGCCGCGUCCCCCCGGGGGACGGGCCCGAAAGGCAGUGGCGGCGCCGUGCCCGGUCCUCGAGCGUAUGGGGCUUUGUCACCCGCUCCUGAGGCCCGGCCGGUUGCCGCCGACCCAACCCCCCCAACACAGGCGUUCGCGCCUCACCGGUUGACCUCGGAUCAGGCAGGGAUACCCGCUGAACUUAA
rnacentral:misc_RNA from 1 species